GAUGAACGCUGGCGGCGUGCCUAAUACAUGCAAGUCGAGCGAACAGACGAGGAGCUUGCUCCUCUGACGUUAGCGGCGCACGGGUGAGUAACACGUGGAUAACCUACCUAUAAGACUGGGAUAACUUCGGGAAACCGGAGCUAAUACCGGAUAAUAUAUUGAACCGCAUGGUUCAAUAGUGAAAGACGGUUUUGCUGUCACUUAUAGAUGGAUCCGCGCCGCAUUAGCUAGUUGGUAAGGUAACGGCUUACCAAGGCAACGAUGCGUAGCCGACCUGAGAGGGUGAUCGGCCACACUGGAACUGAGACACGGUCCAGACUCCUACGGGAGGCAGCAGUAGGGAAUCUGCCGCAAUGGGCGAAAGCUUGACGGAGCAACGCCGCGUGAGUGAUGAAGGUCUUCGGAUCGUAAAACUCUGUUAUUAGGGAAGAACAAAUGUGUAAGUAACUAUGCACGUCUUGACGGUACCUAAUCAGAAAGCCACGGCUAACUACGUG
rnacentral:rRNA from 1 species